AACGAACGCUGGCGGCAUGCCUAACACAUGCAAGUCGAGCGAGACCUUCGGGUCCAGUGGCGCACGGGUGCGUAACGCGUGGGAACCUGCCCUUAGGUUCGGAAUAACUCUCCGAAAGGGGUGCUAAUACCGGAUAAUGUCUUCGGACCAAAGAUUUAUCGCCUUUGGAUGGGCCCGCGUUGGAUUAGCUAGUUGGUAGGGUAAAAGCAUACCACGGCGACGAUCCAUAGCUGGUCUGAGAGGAUGAUCAGCCACACUGGGACUGAGACACGGCCCAGACUCCUACGGGAGGCAGCAGUGGGGAAUAGUGGACAAUGGGGGAAAGCCUGAUCCAGCAAGGCCGGGUGAGUGAUGAAGGCCUUAGGGUUGUAAAGCUCUUUUACCCGGGAUGAUAAUGACAGUACCGGGAGAAUAAGCCCCGGCUAACUCCGUG
rnacentral:rRNA from 1 species